rnacentral:rRNA from 1 species
AGAGUUUGAUCAUGGCUCAGAUUGAACGCUGGCGGCAGGCCUAACACAUGCAAGUCGAGCGGAUGAAGGGAGCUUGCUCCUGGAUUCAGCGGCGGACGGGUGAGUAAUGCCUAGGAAUCUGCCUGGUAGUGGGGGAUAACGUCCGGAAACGGGCGCUAAUACCGCAUACGUCCUGAGGGAGAAAGUGGGGGAUCUUCGGACCUCACGCUAUCAGAUGAGCCUAGGUCGGAUUAGCUAGUUGGUGGGGUAAAGGCCUACCAAGGCGACGAUCCGUAACUGGUCUGAGAGGAUGAUCAGUCACACUGGAACUGAGACACGGUCCAGACUCCUACGGGAGGCAGCAGUGGGGAAUAUUGGACAAUGGGCGAAAGCCUGAUCCAGCCAUGCCGCGUGUGUGAAGAAGGUCUUCGGAUUGUAAAGCACUUUAAGUUGGGAGGAAGGGCAGUAAGUUAAUACCUUGCUGUUUUGACGUUACCAACAGAAUAAGCACCGGCUAACUUCGUGCCAGCAGCCGCGGUAAUACGAAGGGUGCAAGCGUUAAUCGGAAUUACUGGGCGUAAAGCGCGCGUAGGUGGUUCAGCAAGUUGGAUGUGAAAUCCCCGGGCUCAACCUGGGAACUGCAUCCAAAACUACUGAGCUAGAGUACGGUAGAGGGUGGUGGAAUUUCCUGUGUAGCGGUGAAAUGCGUAGAUAUAGGAAGGAACACCAGUGGCGAAGGCGACCACCUGGACUGAUACUGACACUGAGGUGCGAAAGCGUGGGGAGCAAACAGGAUUAGAUACCCUGGUAGUCCACGCCGUAAACGAUGUCGACUAGCCGUUGGGAUCCUUGAGAUCUUAGUGGCGCAGCUAACGCGAUAAGUCGACCGCCUGGGGAGUACGGCCGCAAGGUUAAAACUCAAAUGAAUUGACGGGGGCCCGCACAAGCGGUGGAGCAUGUGGUUUAAUUCGAAGCAACGCGAAGAACCUUACCUGGCCUUGACAUGCUGAGAACUUUCCAGAGAUGGAUUGGUGCCUUCGGGAACUCAGACACAGGUGCUGCAUGGCUAUCGUCAGCUCGUGUCGUGAGAUGUUGGGUUAAGUCCCGUAACGAGCGCAACCCUUGUCCUUAGUUACCAGCACCUCGGGUGGGCACUCUAAGGAGACUGCCGGUGACAAACCGGAGGAAGGUGGGGAUGACGUCAAGUCAUCAUGCCCCUUACGGCCAGGGCUACACACGUGCUACAAUGGUCGGUACAAAGGGUUGCCAAGCCGCGAGGUGGAGCUAAUCCCAUAAAACCGAUCGUAGUCCGGAUCGCAGUCUGCAACUCGACUGCGUGAAGUCGGAAUCGCUAGUAAUCGUGAAUCAGAAUGUCACGGUGAAUACGUUCCCGGGCCUUGUACACACCGCCCGUCACACCAUGGGAGUGGGUUGCUCCAGAAGUAGCUAGUCUAACCGCAAGGGGGACGGUUACCACGGAGUGAUUCAUGACUGGGGUGAAGUCGGAACAAGGUA